AACCUACCUAUAAGACUGGGAUAACUUCGGGAAACCGGAGCUAAUACCGGAUAAUAUUUUGAACCGCAUGGUUCAAAAGUGAAAGACGGUCUUGCUGUCACUUAUAGAUGGAUCCGCGCUGCAUUAGCUAGUUGGUAAGGUAACGGCUUACCAAGGCAACGAUGCAUAGCCGACCUGAGAGGGUGAUCGGCCACACUGGAACUGAGACACGGUCCAGACUCCUACGGGAGGCAGCAGUAGGGAAUCUUCCGCAAUGGGCGAAAGCCUGACGGAGCAACGCCGCGUGAGUGAUGAAGGUCUUCGGAUCGUAAAACUCUGUUAUUAGGGAAGAACAUAUGUGUAAGUAACUGUGCACAUCUUGACGGUACCUAAUCAGAAAGCCACGGCUAACUACGUGCCAGCAGCCGCGGUAAUACGUAGGUGGCAAGCGUUAUCCGGAAUUAUUGGGCGUAAAGCGCGCGUAGGCGGUUUUUUAAGUCUGAUGUGAAAGCCCACGGCUCAACCGUGGAGGGUCAUUGGAAACUGGAAAACUUGAGUGCAGAAGAGGAAAGUGGAAUUCCAUGUGUAGCGGUGAAAUGCGCAGAGAUAUGGAGGAACACCAGUGGCGAAGGCGACUUUCUGGUCUGUAACUGACGCUGAUGUGCGAAAGCGUGGGGAUCAAACAGGAUUAGAUACCCUGGUAGUCCACGCCGUAAACGAUGAGUGCUAAGUGUUAGGGGGUUUCCGCCCCUUAGUGCUGCAGCUAACGCAUUAAGCACUCCGCCUGGGGAGUACGACCGCAAGGUUGAAACUCAAAGGAAUUGACGGGGACCCGCACAAGCGGUGGAGCAUGUGGUUUAAUUCGAAGCAACGCGAAGAACCUUACCAAAUCUUGACAUCCUUUGACAACUCUAGAGAUAGAGCUUUCCCCUUCGGGGGACAAAGUGACAGGUGGUGCAUGGUUGUCGUCAGCUCGUGUCGUGAGAUGUUGGGUUAAGUCCCGCAACGAGCGCAACCCUUAAGCUUAGUUGCCAUCAUUAAGUUGGGCACUCUAAGUUGACUGCCGGUGACAAACCGGAGGAAGGUGGGGAUGACGUCAAAUCAUCAUGCCCCUUAUGAUUUGGGCUACACACGUGCUACAAUGGACAAUACAAAGGGCAGCGAAACCGCGAGGUCAAGCAAAUCCCAUAAAGUUGUUCUCAGUUCGGAUUGUAGUCUGCAACUCGACUACAUGAAGCUGGAAUCGCUAGUAAUCGUAGAUCAGCAUGCUACGGUGAAUACGUUCCCGGGUCUUGUACACACCGCCCGUCACACCACGAGAGUUUGUAACACCCGAAGCCGGUGGAGUAACCUUUUAGGAGCUAGCCGUCGAAGGUGGGACAAAUGAUUGGGGUGAAGUCGUAACAAGGUAGCCGUAUCGGAAGGUGCGGCUG
rnacentral:rRNA from 1 species